AAGAGGCACGACCUCCUAACAGAGGCGCUGAUUCCAAUCCUGCCUGCCACCAGCAAAAGCUCCGUGAGGCUCCAUGACUCUCAGACGCUGCUGCUGGGAGCAGCCUCCAGCAUCUGUGAUGGCAAAGGACUGGAACUAGACUACAAUGCGCAUGAAGGAGAGAAUGCUGAAAUGAAUGCGGCACAUCCUCAUGACGGAAGACAGAAGCUGCAAGGUAAGAAGGGGACGCCCUCCAUGCAGGCACACAGGACGGACACGCGCUCCCGCCCCACACAUCGCAUGUCCCAGCACUCUAGCUGCUUUGAAGCAGCAUCUGUCUCUCUGCACCCUUCUCGCUACGUCAUGGACCCAUGCAGUCCCCACAAGGUGCACCCUUCAAAUAGACCUUCCUGAAAACUUCCUGAGACCACUCGCAGGAGCUGGCACUGUGACCUGCUGAGUUUACCAGGCCUAUGACUUAGGUGCACAGCAGAGUCUCAGGGCGACGAUGUCUGUGCAGCAAAGCAGGACGAGGACAAGGAUGCGGCAUGACGCUUGUCUGGCCCCCGCGGCUGAGCAUCACUGGGGUUGGCCUGGCUCUUCCCCGGGAGCCGGGCUGUCUAAAGUGUACCAGUGCCUGCGCGUCUCACCUGGGUUCCAUUCUACGUCAGCAUGGACCCGGGUGGACAGUGCUGCGCUAGGAGGUGGCAUGGUUUCUGCCCUUCAGGGCUUUGCACCAUAACCCGGGAAACACUCAGGCACCAAAUGAGAGAAAAGAUGGGGCUGCCUCGUAUCUGAGUCUGAGUAGAAAGCCUUGUGUCCGAUCCACUGCUCUCCAGGCUCCUGGAAGACCCCAUAUCGGUAACAGGGAACUGAGGUCAAGGAGCAGA